CCUCGCAGCGUAACCCAGCUCAGCUCAGAGCUGAGUGGGCGCAUCAUGAAUUAGAAAAGAGUCUUUGGAUUGUGGGGGUGGACCCGAAGCCUUAACUCUUAUAAAAGGAAAGAGCUGAGCACCGGGAGAGGCAGCCCGCGCCCCGCCAAUGCCGCAUGGCUGCUUCCAUCCUAGGCUGAGAAAAUCUAUUUCUGGGAGUCUCUGACUUUAGGAGAAGGCACAACAAGGAUGUGUGGCAAGUAAACAGCUCUUUUCACCCAGUGCCUUGGAUGCAGACAAGGGGAGGAGUCGCAUGUGCCAGCCGGUCCCAGCCCAGUCCCUCCAGAGGGUGCUGGUGAGUGUCCUGAUGAUGCUCCAGCACUGAGGACAAUUUUCCAGGUAACUGUUUCUAAAUGCAGCUUGCAAGUGUCCCAUCCACGUCAGAACCCAGGCAGAGGACAGAUUGGUGGGAGCGCAUGUUAGUUGAGCAAGGGCAUGGACACAAUGGCAGUGAGUGGAGGCUAUGAAGGGAGCAUGUGGAAGGGGACAGUGGCAGGGUCAGGGAAUGUAUGGAAAGGAGCCAUUGUGUUAACCUGCUUAAAUAAAAUUGCCCCCUGCCACUUUCCACCUGUUGCUUUUGAAAACACAAAAUGAGCAAUUUCUACUCCCCUGUCCAGCCUGCCAAUCCCCCACCUUACUCAGAACCCCUGCAUGAUACGGGGGGCUGGCUAGCUCAGAGGGAUAGAGACUGGGGUAUAGGGUUGCUCCCUUCUAGGGGGCACCGGCUCCAAUCGGGCCCCAGGGAGGGGACUGGCUGGCUCACGGGGGCAGGGAAUGGGACAUGGGGCCUUUCACCUUUAGUGGACCUUGGCACCAGUCUGGCUUCAAGGCAAGGGGACUGGCUGGCUCGGGGGGUUAGGAAUGAGCUCUGGGGCCUGUCCUUCCUAGAGCACCCUGACUGUGUGUUUUCUAUUAGUGUUUUCAGUGGGUUCUGCUUCCAGUUCUGGCGCAGGGGGCUAGUGGUUUAGACUGGGGGUCCUGGAAGCCAGCACUCCUGGGUUCUAUCCCCCCCCUGCAGAGUGGGGAUCACACACCCCUGCCUUAGUCUGGCUGUGUUGCUCUGUGGCUCCCAGAAGGGCUGAAGGACUGUGCCGCCCCACCCCCCCAAUUGCCAUCGGCGUCUUUACCCCACCAAAAAAGGCUCUUUGCUCCUAUUUUUAGCCCCACUCCCAGGUUUUAUAUAGCUCUGAACAUUCAUGUCUCCCUGCGUCCCCCGCUGGCGCGGGAGGGGAGAGCGAGAAAAAUAUCUACCAAGGUCCCUUCUUCAUCGAAAAUAUCUCAGCAGUUGCCAUGGAGACCCGCCCACAGCUUCACCUCCCAGCACAAGAGGCUUCGCAAUACAGAGGGGCUGGAGGCUUUUUAUAGACCCAAUGUGCGAAAGGAGAUGGGGGCCGGGGGGGCCAGAGCCAGUGGGAUUGGCUAGCAGCCCCCCCCACCCCAGCGUGGGAAGUUCAGACCCAGCCACCCCCAUCUAUCCAUCAAUACAAAUGCAGAAUGGGGUUUCAGGAUUUGAAUGGGCUGGUUCUUCAUUCCCACCAAGCCCAAUCUGGCCCCCAACCCCCUGCUCUAACCCACCAGCCCCACUCUCUUCCGUCUUGGAACAGAACCCAGGCAUCCUGGCUCCCAGCCCCCACUAGACCCCACUUCCCUCCCAGAACUGGGAACACAAUAUAGACUUUACACCUUCCCAGGAAUGAUGCACCGUUAGAGACUGCUUGAGAGAGGAGGGCAAUACUGGACAAGGCGGUCUCACGUGGUUGACCCAGGAGACUGGGGAAGAGGAAGUGAAUAGUGCCUCCAAUGUCAUAUUGUUCUAGGGCUGCCCUCCUGCAGGCAGCCUUCCCUGUCAAACUCCUUCGCCACUGCUGUGAACUAUUAAACAUCUGCCACCCCAGAGGUGGCAGCAUCUCCGUGCUGGGCAAGGGAUUCCCAUAUAAACAGCCCACACCCCACCCCAGCGAGGGUUAUAUCUUAGGACUGGUUGAGGCAUCCCUGUAGAAACAGCCGCCAUACCCCACCCCAGAGGGGGCUGCAUCUUAGCACUGGGUGAAGCGUACCUGUAGAAACAGCCCGUGUCCCACCCCAGAGGGCACUGCAUCUGAGCACCGGAGUGAGGAGUCUCUGUAUAAACAGCUGUCACACUCCAGAGGCAGCUGCAUGUCAGUGCUGGAGGAAUUGACUCAUUCAUAUGCUGGUCAGGUGCUUUGAGACCCAAAUUGGGAGGAAUUCUGAUUAAAAAGCCAGCAGUUCAUGGAGCUAUUUUUGAAAACACAAGGAGUAAAUAAAAGGCAAAAUAGCAGAGGCUGAAAUGAAUCUAUUUUAAAACCCUCACGCCCAAUUUCCUGCGAGUCCUGGGGCGAGGACAUCGUGCUGGACCCAACCUGCGCUUUUAUAGACAUAAUCAAGCCAGAAUGCAACCUACAGACAGCUAAAUGUGUCUGACAAACACUCCGAUACAGCAAUGAGGAGAGCCACGCAGCUCCAAGCUAUUAUAGAACAGUACCUGCCAAUCCCAGAGCACUAUGCUUAUACAUGGACUUGAAGACCCCUCAUUCAGCACUGAGAUGCAGCCACCUCUGGGGUGGAGUCCAGAGGCUGUUUAUACAGGGAUCCCUCACUCGGAGCUGAGAUGUGACCACUGCUGAGGUGGGAUGCAGGGCUGUUCACACAGGGAUCCUUGCAGUUGCUUCUGGAGUGUGACAAAGCAUAUGGCCGACUGAUGCAUAGAAAUGCUCUACCAUGGUUCAUAAAAAGAAGGAGCAUUGCAGGGUAUUGUGGCCAGCCCUGACUGUGAGCUCCCCAUCCCACUCCUUGCACACAGCACCCCCUAGGGCAGGACUGGGGCACUAGGGUCAGCCCUGACUGCAAGAGGAGAGCACCAGCAAUGAGUUACGUCAGAGCUCAGCAUCCCCACGGCUGCUCCUUGCUUUAGAUCCAGGGUGACCAAGAGAGAAGCAGAACUACGCUAUAGCAACAGAGAGGGGGAGGGAGGUAUUUUUGGGAGGGAUGGACGGAGGAGUGUGAGCUGGAGGGUUGGCUCAUCCCCCCGCCCCCUGCUCUCAGUCCCUUUCCAGCCUGCGGCCAUGG